ensembl:lncRNA
CAAGACAUUGUUGAUUAUCGAUGAAUAAAACAUGUAAUGUGCAGAAUGACCAUUUGUCGCAAUGAGUCUGUUUCCUCUGUUUUUUACAGUCUCAGCAGCCUGUCAACCCCCCACCCUUCCCUCCCGCGCUCUCCCGCUGUCGGCCCAAAAAGAAUGGGGCCGGGGAAGAGAGAAGAUGGAGGGGAGCGAGGUGGUGCGGCCGUUUGCUCCCGUCUCGACCACGGGUAUUCUUGGGUUGAUAAUACAGAUGUCGAUGUUAUUGCUUGAGAAUACGCGUAGCUGAGCGGAAGCCAUCACCAACGGACAAUAACGGACAGCAGAACCAGAGGGAGCACGAGCGUGGCGGGAGAGGCGGCGGCGGCGGGAGAGGGCGACGGCGGUCCUCUCCUCGAGUCCCCGCUUGUUGUCCACCAGAAUCCGCCCCGGCAUCGUCUCGGCCCUCUGCAGGAAAUACGCCGGCCGUAGGAUUGAGUGAUGAAGAAUAGCUGCCCACUCUCCGAGGCGCCGUUGGAAGGACACAAACGAGUACGCCAUCUUGUGCUCACCGUCGGAAUAACGACGCUUUCAGAUCCUUUGGGCAAUCGGGGUCUUUGUCUCCUUAAACACUCGGUCACAUUGUUGUACUAAGAGACUGUACAUGAAUGGAUAGUUUUGUAUUUUAUUUGUUUGGCUGCUGAAGGGAUUGUAGGUGUAUGUGUUACACCACAGAGA